rnacentral:rRNA from 1 species
UGGGGAAUAUUGGACAAUGGGCGCAAGCCUGAUCCAGCCAUGCCGCGUGAGUGAUGAAGGCCCUAGGGUUGUAAAGCUCUUUCACCGGUGAAGAUAAUGACGGUAACCGGAGAAGAAGCCCCGGCUAACUUCGUGCCAGCAGCCGCGGUAAUACGAAGGGGGCUAGCGUUGUUCGGAUUUACUGGGCGUAAAGCGCACGUAGGCGGACUAUUAAGUCAGGGGUGAAAUCCCGGGGCUCAACCCCGGAACUGCCUUUGAUACUGGUAGUCUUGAGUUCGAGAGAGGUGAGUGGAAUUCCGAGUGUAGAGGUGAAAUUCGUAGAUAUUCGGAGGAACACCAGUGGCGAAGGCGGCUCACUGGCGCGAUACUGACGCUGAGGUGCGAAAGCGUGGGGAGCAAACAGG